GGCCUCGUGGCCUAAUGGAUAUAGCGUGUGCCUCCUAAGCAUGAGAUUGCGGGUUCGAGUCCCGCCGGGGCCC